rnacentral:rRNA from 1 species
AACGAACGCUGGCGGCAGGCCUAACACAUGCAAGUCGAACGGGACCUUCGGGUCUAGUGGCGGACGGGUGAGUAACGCGUGGGAACGUGCCCUUUGGUUCGGAAUAGCCUCGGGAAACUGGGAGUAAUACCGGAUAAGCUCUACGGAGGAAAGAUUUAUCGCCAAAGGAUCGGCCCGCGUUGGAUUAGGUAGCUGGUGAGGUAAAGGCUCACCAAGGCGACGAUCCGUAGCUGGUCUGAGAGGAUGAUCAGCCACACCGGAACUGAGACACGGUCCGGACUCCUACGGGAGGCAGCAGUGGGGAAUAUUGCGCAAUGGGCGAAAGCCUGACGCAGCCAUACCGCGUGUGUGAAGAAGGCCUUCGGGUUGUAAAGCACUUUCAGUGGGGAGGAAAAGCUGGUGGCUAAUAUCCAUCGGCCGUGACGCUACCCACAGAAGAAGCACCGGCUAACUCCGUGCCAGCCGCCGCAGUAAUAC